rnacentral:rRNA from 1 species
GAUGAACGCUGGCGGCGUGCCUAAUACAUGCAAGUCGAGCGAACGGACGAGAAGCUUGCUUCUCUGAUGUUAGCGGCGGACGGGUGAGUAACACGUGGAUAACCUACCUAUAAGACUGGGAUAACUUCGGGAAACCGGAGCUAAUACCGGAUAAUAUUUUGAACCGCAUGGUUCAAAAGUGAAAGACGGUCUUGCUGUCACUUAUAGAUGGUUCCGCGCUGCAUUAGCUAGUUGGUAAGGUAACGGCUUACCAAGGCAACGAUGCAUAGCCGACCUGAGAGGGUGAUCGGCCACACUGGAACUGAGACACGGUCCAGACUCCUACGGGAGGCAGCAGUAGGGAAUCUUCGGCAAUGGGCGAAAGCCUGACGGAGCAACGCCGCGUGAGUGAUGAAGGUCUUCGGAUCGUAAAACUCUGUUAUUAGGGAAGAACAUAUGUGUAAUUAACUGUGCACAUCUUGACGGUACCUAAUCAGAAAGCCACGGCUAACUACGUG